UACGUAGGGGGCGAGCGUUGUCCGGAAUUAUUGGGCGUAAAGCGCGCGCAGGCGGCUCCUUAAGUCUGGUGUGAAAGCCCCCGGCUCAACCGGGGAGGGUCAUUGGAAACUGGGGAACUUGAGUGCAGAAGAGGAUAGUGGAAUUCCAAGUGUAGCGGUGAAAUGCGUAGAGAUUUGGAGGAACACCAGUGGCGAAGGCGACUAUCUGGUCUGUAACUGACACUGAGGCGCGAAAGCGUGGGGAGCAAACAGG
rnacentral:rRNA from 1 species